UGUUGCGUACUUGUGUUAUACUAAGUUUGCCAUGUGCUUUAAAUAAAUGAACAGUAUCUUAAGUUUUGUUAAUACUUAUGAAUUAUGAAUUUCAUAUAACACUAUUUUAAGUAACAAAAAAAAACCUAAGGGAGGCGAUCGUCACAUCACCUCCCCUCAAAUCCACCACUGUCAUACUAAGGCAAUAAACGGUGAAUGGAAACAACUACAAGAAGUGUCUACUCACUGGAGUAGUACAAGUACUUACUAUAUAAUUAUGUUCCCGAUAUAUUAAAACCAUAAGAAGUUGCUACCAAGGAAUUUUGUGCUCAAAAGUACCUACGUAAGAACAUGUAUGGUGAUUCACUGAUCCUGUAUGCAUAUUGAUACUGGAUAAAAACAUUAAAGGAUUCAAACCAAUACAAGAAUUGCGACCACGAUGGUAAUUAUUUUAGAUCGACGUUUAAAAAAAAAUGUAUUCCUAGAAUACAGUUGAAUUAUUCAAGAUGCUUAAGUACAAAUCUGAUGAUAUCAACCAAAAACAGUCUUUGAGCUCUGGCGAAUGUUUAUUUGAUAUAGACACCACAAAUUUUGAGAACCUCAGUUAUUUAAUUUAUGGAAAAAUCAUGCGAAACAUGUUCAAUUAGAUACCUACCAGCCGUAACCGUAAUCCCAUAGGGCAUUGAAGGUUAUAAUCAUUAAUCAGGAUAGGUAUUUGAUUUCCUUAAGAAUAAUUAACUCUACAUCUGAAAAGCAGUCAUGCCCGAUUAUCUGACGAUCCUCUACAAAUAUGAAAGUAAAAAUAAACAAUUAUGUCAAAAGUAUAACCUAUGUUAUCAAAAAUCGCCAUUAAAUAUGUAAUUCCUGUUGCAACGUUUGUUCUUAGUGAACGUUUAUUUUCUAAAGCGGGAUUGACUUUAAAUUUUGAAUAACCAAAGAAAUCAUUUAACUUCAAAAUACAUAAUAUAACUACUAUUCUUAUAACUUUUAGAUGAUACAAUAAAACAGUAUAUCAAUAUAUUAUUAUAUU